rnacentral:rRNA from 1 species
AUUGAACGCUGGCGGCAGGCCUAACACAUGCAAGUCGAACGGUAACAGGAAGCAGCUUGCUGCUUUGCUGACGAGUGGCGGACGGGUGAGUAAUGUCUGGGAAACUGCCUGAUGGAGGGGGAUAACUACUGGAAACGGUAGCUAAUACCGCAUAACGUCGCAAGACCAGAGAGGGGGACCUUCGGGCCUCUUGCCAUCGGAUGUGCCCAGAUGGGAUUAGCUAGUAGGUGGGGUAAAGGCUCACCUAGGCGACGAUCCCUAGCUGGUCUGAGAGGAUGACCAGCCACACUGGAACUGAGACACGGUCCAGACUCCUACGGGAGGCAGCAGUGGGGAAUAUUGCACAAUGGGCGCAAGCCUGAUGCAGCCAUGCCGCGUGUAUGAAGAAGGCCUUCGGGUUGUAAAGUACUUUCAGCGGGGAGGAAGGGAGUAAAGUUAAUACCUUUGCUCAUUGACGUUACCCGCAGAAGAAGCACCGGCUAACUCCGUG